CAUAGGUUUGGUCCUGGCCUUUCUAUUAGUUGUAAGUGAACUUACACAUGCAAGAAUCCCCACACCUGUGAAAGUGCCCUCUAAUCAUUAUUUGAUCAAAGGAGCUGGUAUCAAGCACACUAAAAGUAGCUCACAACACCUUGCUCAGCCACACCCCCACGGGAAACAGCAGUGAUAAAAAUUAAGCAAUAAAUGAAAGUUUGACUAAGUUACACUAUUAAGGACUGGUAAAUUUCGUGCCAGCCACCGCGGUCAUACGAUUAGGUCAAACUAAUAGAUAAUCGGCGUAGAGUGUGUUUUAGAGUCAAUUCACUAAUAAAGUCAAACCUUAACUAAGCUGUAAAAAGCCCUAGUUAUUGUAAGAUACUUAACGAAAGUAACUUUAAAUUCUCUGAUUACACAAUAGCUAAGAUCCAAACUGGGAUUAGAUACCCCACUAUGCCUAGCCCUAAACAUAAAAAAUUAUAAACAAAAUUAUUCGCCAGAGUACUACCAGCAAUAGCUAGAAACUCAAAGGACUUGGCGGUGCCUUAUAUCCUCCUAGAGGAGCCUGUUCCAUAAUCGAUAAACCCCGAUAUACCUUACCAACCUUUGCCAAAUCAGCCUAUAUACCGCCAUCUUCAGCGAACCCUAAAAAGGAAAAACAGUAAGCAAAAUCAUCAACAUAAAAACGUUAGGUCAAGGUGUAGCCUAUAGGUUGGAGAGAAAUGGGCUACAUUUCCCAAUUGAAGAGAUAAUCACGAAAACUUAUGUGAAAUCAUCAGUUAAAGGUGGAUUUAGUAGUAAAUUAAGAAUAGAGUGCUUAAUUGAAUAGGGCCAUGAGGCACGCACACACCGCCCGUCACCCUCCUCGAGUAGCAAAUAUUAAUUAAUUCAUAAAACUUUAGAUAACACAUGCAAGAGGAGACAAGUCGUAACAAGGUAAGUGUACUGGAAAGUGCACUUGGAUAACG
rnacentral:ncRNA from 1 species